rnacentral:rRNA from 1 species
GCAGGCGCGAAACCUUUACACUGCACGACAGUGCGAUAGGGGGAUCCCAAGUGCACAGGCAUAGCGCCUGUGCUUUUCGGUACCCUAAGGCGGUACCAGAAUAAGGGCUGGGCAAGACCGGUGCCAGCCGCCGCGGUAAUACCGGCAGCCCAAGUGAUGGCCGAUCUUAUUGGGCCUAAAGCGUCCGUAGCUGGCCGUACAAGUCCAUCGGGAAAUCCUCCUGCUCAACAGGUGGGCGCCCGGUAGAAACUGUGCGGCUUGGGACCGGAAGGCGCGACGGGUACGUCCGGGGUAGGAGUGAAAUCCCGUAAUCCUGGACGGACCGCCGAUGGCGAAAGCACGUCGCGAGAACGGAUCCGACAGUGAGGGACGAAAGCCAGGGUCUCGAACCGGAUUAGAUACCCGGGUAGUCCUGGCCGUAAACAAUGUCUGCUAGGUSUGGCUCCCACUACGAGUGGGUGCUGUGCCGUAGGGAAGCCGCUAAGCAGACCGCCUGGGAAGUACGUCCGCAAGGAUGAAACUUAAAGGAAUUGGCGGGGGAGCACUACAACCGGAGGAGCCUGCGGUUUAAUUGGAGUCAACGCCGG